CUGAGUAAUCUUUAGUUUUUCCUUCAAGUUAAAUAGCCCAAGUAUUUUACAUUCGUUUUCCCCUGCCUGUUCUAUUUUCCUCUAGUUCCCUUUAGGUCUUCUUAUAUCUUGUCAAUGAACAGUGCACGUCCUGCAAACAAAUACACUGGGGCACAAACUGAAAAUAAGAUUAAUUUGUCACUUCCAAAUAUUUUGUUUCUGCAUAGCAACAGCAUCAUCCUUACUUCAUGAGCCACAGCAGAAAUGUGCCAACACCUGAGACAGAGUAUUGUUCUGUUGCCCAGGCUGGAGUGCAAUGGCACCAUCAUACCUCACUACAGACUCAAACUCCUGGCCUCAAGCGACGCAAGGAGCUGUAAUUGUUUAAGCUACUGGAUCUUCCCAUUCUGACUUCUCCAUCACACUUCUGUCUGUCAUGUCAGGCAGCAUUAGAGUGGCUACAGGCAUCAUUGGAAUCCUGCUAAGAAGUUGAGUUAAGGAUUCCAAAAUUGAAUAAACUUCUGGCCUACAAAUCUUGGAUUUGCUUUUGCUGAGAGUGACAUUUGAGGUGAAUUAUGCUUGGAAGAUUUUGUCCUCACAGCUACCCAAUGUAAACUUCUUAAACUCAGUAAAGAUCAAAUGUGAUUAUUUCCUUUCCUGUCCA
rnacentral:lncRNA from 10 species